UACGGGGGGGGCAAGCGUUGUUCGGAAUUACUGGGCGUAAAGGGCUCGUAGGCGGCCAACUAAGUCAGACGUGAAAUCCCCAGGCUCAACCUGGGAACUGCGUCUGAUACUGGAUGGCUUGAAUUCGGGAGAGGGAUGCAGAAUUCCAGGUGUAGCGGUGAAAUGCGUAGAUAUCUGGAGGAAUACCGGUGGCGAAGGCGGCAUCCUGGACCGACAUUGACGCUGAGGAGCGAAAGUGUGGGGAGCGAACAGG
rnacentral:rRNA from 1 species